UUUUUGAAUGUUCAAAAUCUGUGUUUUGGGAAGGGAAGCAGUAUGUAUAUGUGUGCUUUUUUUUUGGCGGGUUGCCAUCAUAACUAGAAUAGAGCCCAUCAGUAAUUACAUAAUGUGAAUAUACCAUGCAUUCCUACUUUGUGAAAGUUCAUGCUGUUUAGUUCCAUUUCUUAAAGAUUGCACAUCAGAGGUUUAAUACCAGUAGAUUUAGAAAAAAAUUACAAAUGUGAAUUCACAAAAUUAUUUUACAUAUUUAAAUGUUCUUGAAUUCAUGUUAGAACUCCACAGUAUUCAUUGUUUUUACCUAAAUAUCAUGAAUUACAUGCUUUUUUAUUUUUUCAGUUUGGAGAGUAAAUUAGUGGCAGCUGCUUUGAAGGGGGAAGGAGGGAGACAGCCAUGUAUAUGGAUGAGUUGCAGUUGCUGAUAGAGUAUUGUGACUCCUCAUGCACAGGCUGAAUUCUAGGAUAAAUUCUCUACUUGUUUGUUGUGGCCUCUACUUUUUAAUUUUUUAUUUUCCCAAUUAGGAUUACUAAUACUUCCAAGAAACCCACCAGAGAAAUUGAUAAGCCUGUCAUUCUGAAGCAUUUUAUUUAUUCUCUGAGAAGACAAGCCUUUUAGUGAAAAAACUUUCUUUUCCAGCUAAGGGAGGAAGGCCCUAUAAUUUUCAAAAGUUGAGUGUCUUGUGCUCCUGGAUGAUUUAAGCUUUUCUCUGUAUUCACCUCAUUCCCAGACAGAUGUUCUCCUCAUGGUGAUAGAGGUGGCUAAACACCAGCUCAGAAAUCCCCAUGGAAAAAAGAUGAUUUUUCUAACAGCUGUCUCAAGGGUCCCAAAGAGGACUGUAGCAGCCCCAGCUUGAGGUACUACCUAUUCCUAACCCAGUCACUGGUUAAGGGGAUGGAAUAUGCUUACUGGCCAAUCCUGAGUUUGUGUGUAUACCUGAUGGCAGAGGGUGAGGUCAGCCCUACCCUAUUACAUGGAAUGAGCUAGAUUAUUAUAGAAGGGGAGAAGGGUGACUCCUAAAGGGAAACUGGACAAAAAUAUGUCUACCAUAGUCUAUGCCAAAAAUGUACAUAUUCUCAGUAGAUUUGUUUAUCCAUUUACUAAGCAAGAAAAGAGUAAGCAUUUUCUCUAAAUGAGAUUUUUACUUUAAAAGUUUUUGUCCAUUACUUCAAUACAUGCGUCCUAGUUUAUAUUUUUAAAACUGUUUCUGCAAAUUGUUCUCUUUUUCACUGAUUUUAAUUCAAACAUUCA